GUGGUUGUAGCUCAGUUGGUUAGAGCGCUGGAUUGUGGUUCCAGAGGUCGCCGGUUCGAACCCGGUCUUCCACC
rfam:Muricauda ruestringensis DSM 13258, complete genome.